rnacentral:misc_RNA from 1 species
CCUAAACACAAAGCCGAUAUAUCGUAAAGUUCCCAAUUUUUCGGUUGUAAAUUAGUGACGUUCCGUAUCACUGGCCGGCCUCUAGUCAGUCGGACUUGAAACAUCGUUGCGUUGAGACGAGUGACGAAGCCCUAUCGACGCGCGCCACAAACGGCUCUCGGCGAAAGUUUGUGGAAUAUUAAUUUUGAAUUUCGAAUAUAAUAGAUUUUUUUUUUUAUUUAUUGUGGUUCGAUGACGAAACUUUUUAAUUAAUGUGCCCUUUGUUUCUUUCGUUGCUGGCUGGAAAGUUUGGAGAAUAUAUUUUUUUUAUAAAACGGGUUGUUUGGAGGCGGGCAAGCGGGUGACCAUUUCUCUUUCUCAACAUCGACAACACCCAGAGAAUUGUGACUCAUCAACAUAUUAAUGAAAUUAAUGAGGUUUCAUCGAUGAAUUCCAUCAAAAUACGAAAAUGAAAUAAGAUUGAAAGUUAAUUUAAAACCAGAAGUGACUAAAAUAAUAGUGAUAAUAAGAAAGUUAAACAUUAUGAAACAGAUUGCUUCACAAAUAAAGCGCAAUAUACAUACCAAACACAACCAAUAUGAUAAUAGCAAACCAAAAAGGUUUAUGAUGCCAAGUUAAGAAGAACGCAGAAUUAUGCCGAGCGAAACAUGGACCACUGACAUACCAACUUACAAUGAUAAUUUUACAACCAACGAUGCCUAUCUCAGCGCCAACGACUCGGCCAUCGAUCCAAUCGAAAACAAAGCAGUGCAAGCGGCCUUCUGCGUUGCGUAUACAAUUAUUUUCGUAGUUGGUAUCUUCGGUAACGCGCUAGUGUGUUACGCCGUCAUUAGGAACCGUGCUAUGCAAACUGUGACUAAUCUCUUCAUCACGAACCUCGCACUAUCCGAUGUGUUACUUUGCGUAUUUGCAGUUCCAUUUACUCCUCUUUACACUUUCCUCGGAAGAUGGGUGUUCGGGAGCCUUCUCUGCCACAUAAUGCCGUACGCUCAGGGAUGUAGCGUGUACAUUUCGACGCUCACGCUCACUUCCAUUGCCAUCGACAGGUUCUUCGUCAUCAUCUACCCCCGUUCAAAACCUCGUGUGAAAAUCAAAACCUGUAUCGGACUAAUUAUUUUCAUUUGGGUGUUUGCGUUAUCAGUCACAUUUCCUUACGGCUACUACAUGGCUUUGCAAGAUAUAUAUUGCGCAGAAAAAUGGCCGUCAGAUCAAAUAAGAAAAGCUUUUGGAGCAGUUACAACCAUAAUGCAGUUUGUAAUACCUUUCAUUGUAAUGGCGUUUUGUUACACGUGCGUUAGUGUCAAAUUAAACGAUCGAUUGAAAUCUAGACCUGGUAGUAAGAAUAGUAAAAAGGAAGAUGCAGAGAGAGAAAGAAAAAGAAGAACAAAUAGAAUGUUGAUAGCCAUGGUUGCUAUAUUCGGCCUCUCCUGGCUACCUCUCAAUCUUAUUAAUAUAAGUAGUGAUUUUUAUUCAUUAGCCGAAGACUGGAGGUACUACAUGGUGUUGUUUUUUGUUGCGCAUUUCAUUGCUAUGUCUUCCACGUGCUACAACCCGUUUCUUUACGCAUGGCUCAACGAGAAUUUCAGAAAGGAGUUCAAACAAAUAUUGCCAUGCUUAGGAGCGUUUGUCACUACAAAAUCUAAAAGAAAAUUCAACCAAUCCGAAAGAACAGGCAUGUAUAAAUCAGAGAAGACUUGCAACGGCAAUGAUACCGUACAAGAAUCCUUGUUGACCUCAACUGUAAACAAGAUGCCUUCUGUUAGAUAUAAAAUUGAGUUUAAUGAUAAACUUAGAGGCUAUGACGAAGAUGGGAUAAACAAUAUAAGUCCUGAUGAAAAGCCAGAGGACAAUCCGAGUCCUAACGAAGACUGUGUUAAUAUGUAUAUGUUUGUAGAUAAAUCUGUUGUCGCGUCGGACAAGGAACCCAUCGUGUCAGCAUUGUAGCUUCAACGAUAGAUUUUACUACUACCAGCCCGGGAUUUGGAAUUUGUGCCUGAUGAUGAUAGCCUCAUCACAAAAAAGGACGAAAUACACUCGACGGAAAGUGGAUGCAUCAGUUCCGCUUCAGCCUACCCCUUCGGAUAUAAAAGGCGGAGUAAUCUUCCUGCCUACGUUUGACUCCUACUGCCAUUAAGCCUGGUACACACUCUUGAAAAAUAAAAAUAUGUUGACAGAUUAAAGAAAAUGAUUGUAAAAUUUUAUUUUUAAUAGUCAUUGGAAGUGAUGUGUUAUUUUAUCUACAUAUUUAUAACCCUAAGCAAACUUACAAGAAUUUUCACAAAUGUAACUCUUAAACCAUCUUUGUACAUUAAUAAUAUUUAGAAAAAUAAAUUAUAAUUUUAUAUUCUAAAUAUAACUAGGUAAAUAAGUCUCAGAUUCAAGUGUAUCUCGUGUGCAUAUAGCUUAAGUGUAGAAAAUGUACAGACAGUAAAAUAAUUGUUAAGUUGUAAAUAAGUUUUGUUGAGAUAAAAGUUUUUGUGUCAAUUAUGUAGUUCUUGACUGAACUUUGAGCCCAUUGACUAAAUAACUUUUUUCUAUAAAUGUUUAGAUUUGUUAACGUUAGAGUAUUUUUGUUAACUGUAAAAACUAGUGUAUAUGUAUGUACAUAGAGUUCUAAAUGCCUUGUAAUUAAUGUCAAUGCAUAAUGUAAUCAAGCUAUUAUUGUGUCAAAUAAAAUGUACCAAAGAAUUUUUCGA